rnacentral:rRNA from 1 species
UACGGAGGGUGCAAGCGUUGUUCGGAAUUACUGGGCGUAAAGCGCGUGCAGGCGGCCGAUUAAGUCCGGUGUGAAAGCCCGGGGCUCACCCCCGGAAGUGCGCUGGAAACUGAUCGGCUAGAGUGCGGGAGAGGGAAGCGGAAUUCCUGGUGUAGCGGUGAAAUGCGUAGAUAUCAGGAGGAACACCAGCGGCGAAGGAGGCUUCCGGGACCGACACUGACGCUGAGACGCGAAAGCGUGGGGAGCAAACAGG